rnacentral:rRNA from 1 species
GUCCACGCCGUAAACGAUGAGUGCUAGAUGUCGGGGGACAUAGUCCUUCGGUGUCGCAGCUAACGCAUUAAGCACUCCGCCUGGGGAGUACGGUCGCAAGAUUAAAACUCAAAGGAAUUGACGGGGGCCCGCACAAGCGGUGGAGCAUGUGGUUUAAUUCGACGCAACGCGAAGAACCUUACCAGCCCUUGACAUACCGAUCGCGAUUUCCAGAGAUGGAUUUCUUCAGUUCGGCUGGAUCGG